rnacentral:rRNA from 1 species
GAUGGGCCCGCGUCCCAUCAGCUAGUUGGUGGGGUAACGGCCUACCAAGGCGACGACGGGUAGCCGGCCUGAGAGGGUGGUCGGCCACACUGGGACUGAGACACGGCCCAGACUCCUACGGGAGGCAGCAGUGGGGGAUCUUCCGCAAUGGGCGAAAGCCUGACGGAGCGACGCCGCGUGGGGGAAGAAGGCCUUCGGGUCGUAAACCCCUGUCGUG